UUCUAGAAGAGGUCCCCAGAGUCAUGGAUCGAACUCAAUGUUCUAUCAUGAAGAAGUGUUGGCCUUUUUCAUGACAAACCUUUUGAAUUGAUCUAUUCUGGGCAGAAUCGUCAUCAAAGACCCUAGGGGAUGAAAACCCUAAUGGACGAGACAGAACGACCCCUUACUUAAGCUUAUAUUUUUUCUCGAGCUUGGGUUUUAGCUUCUCACAUAGUAUCAAUCCCCACCAAUGAUAUGACAAUUUAAUAAGAUAAGAG
rnacentral:lncRNA from 1 species